GCCUCGCCUCGGAACCUUCGGGAGCGCCUGGGGCCCUGCGGAAACAGCGGAGUGACUAGUCUUCACGGCACGACCUCUACCGCUUCUAACACUAGUGUCCACUGCCCGAUAAGGCUGAAUCAUCGUGCUUUCACCUCCCAUGCUAGUUCCUCGACGGGGAGAAGUAAAUAAGCACACAGGAAAUCUGAUGAGUGAGUACAUUUCACUACAAAAUCAGAUUGAAGACCCGGGAGCCUAAGACAGAGAGGGAGCGUCCCCCCCGAGCGGCAAUCCCCAAGCGUGCAUUAAGACCUCUGCCAGAAUCUCACUGAAGGCCUCGAUACCGUCACAGCACCUCCCGUGACCACGCUGCUACCCAGGGGCCCCAGUGAGGGAAGUGCGGUGACAGCCUGUACCCACGAGCUUCAUGAGCUUAUCUUGCCUACCAUCGUCCAGAAGCGUGGACUCAGGGCCUAACGAAAAUGAUGUUAUGGAGACAGCUUGGGGACACGGCUGGAACUUGUGCUAGGGCGUGUAUGGCACCGAAUCGGUGACUGCUAAGGUGAUGCUCACCCCUGGCCAGAACACAUGGGUCCAGAAACAAAGGGCCAGCACCGGGAUUGCUUCCCGUGAUCACUCAAUAAUAUGCGUGCAAAAUAUUUUCUUCCUAUUCAACAA